rnacentral:rRNA from 1 species
AUCAGUGGCGAACGGGUGAGUAACACGUGAGUAACCUGCCCUUGACUCUGGGAUAAGCGUUGGAAACGACGUCUAAUACCGGAUACGACCCGUGGAGGCAUCUCCUGCGGGUGGAAAGAUUUUUUGGUUGAGGAUGGACUCGCGGCCUAUCAGCUUGUUGGUGAGGUAAUGGCUCACCAAGGCGACGACGGGUAGCCGGCCUGAGAGGGUGACCGGCCACACUGGGACUGAGACACGGCCCAGACUCCUACGGGAGGCAGCAGUGGGGAAUAUUGCACAAUGGGCGAAAGCCUGAUGCAGCAACGCCGCGUGAGGGAUGACGGCCUUCGGGUUGUAAACCUCUUUUGGCAGGGAAGAAGCGAAAGUGACGGUACCUGCAGAAAAAGCACCGGCUAACUACGUGCCAGCAGCCGCGGUAAUACGUAGGGUGCAAGCGUUGUCCGGAAUUAUUGGGCGUAAAGAGCUCGUAGGCGGUUUGUCGCGUCUGCUGUGAAAACGCGAGGCUCAACCUCGCGCCUGCAGUGGGUACGGGCAGACUAGAGUGCGGUAGGGGAGAUUGGAAUUCCUGGUGUAGCGGUGGAAUGCGCAGAUAUCAGGAGGAACACCGAUGGCGAAGGCAGAUCUCUGGGCCGUUACUGACG